GAUGAACGCUGGCGGCGUGCCUAAUACAUGCAAGUCGAGCGAACAGACGAGGAGCUUGCUCCUCUGAUGUUAGCGGCGGACGGGUGAGUAACACGUGGAUAACCUACCUAUAAGACAGGGAUAACUUCGGGAAACCGGAGCUAAUACCGGAUAACAUGUUGAACCGCAUGGUUCAACAGUGAAAGACGGUCUUGCUGUCACUUAUAGAUGGAUCCGCGCCGCAUUAGCUAGUUGGUAAGGUAACGGCUUACCAAGGCAACGAUGCGUAGCCGACCUGAGAGGGUGAUCGGCCACACUGGAACUGAGACACGGUCCAGACUCCUACGGGAGGCAGCAGUAGGGAAUCUUCCGCAAUGGGCGAAAGCCUGACGGAGCAACGCCGCGUGAGUGAAGAAGGUCUUCGGAUCGUAAAACUCUGUUAUUAGGGAAGAACAAAUGUGUAAGUAACUAUGCACGUCUUGACGGUACCUAAUCAGAAAGCCACGGCUAACUACGUG
rnacentral:rRNA from 1 species